CGUAAAGCGAGCGCAGGCGGAAAAAUAAGUCUAAUGUGAAAGCCCUCGGCUUAACCGAGGAAUUGCAUCGGAAACUGUUUUUCUUGAGUGCAGAAGAGGAGAGUGGAACUCCAUGUGUAGCGGUGGAAUGCGUAGAUAUAUGGAAGAACACCAGAGGCGAAGGCGGCUCUCUGGUCUGCAACUGACGCUGAGGCUCGAAAGCAUGGGUAGCGAACAGGAUUAGAUACCCUGGUAGUCCAUGCCGUAAACGAUGAGUGCUAAGUGUUGGGAGGUUUCCGCCUCUCAGUGCUGCAGCUAACGCAUUAAGCACUCCGCCUGGGGAGUACGACCGCAAGGUUGAAACUCAAAGGAAUUGACGGGGGCCCGCACAAGCGGUGGAGCAUGUGGUUUAAUUCGACGCAACGCGAAGAACCUUACCAGGUCUUGACAUCUAGUGCAAUCUGUAGAGAUACGGAGUUCCCUUCGGGGACGCUAAGACAGGUGGUGCAUGGCUGUCGUCAGCUCGUGUCGUGAGAUGUUGGGUUAAGUCCCGCAACGAGCGCAACCCUUGUUAUUAGUUGCCAGCAUUAAGUUGGGCACUCUAAUGAGACUGCCGGUGACAAACCGGAGGAAGGUGGGGAUGACGUCAAGUCAUCAUGCCCCUUAUGACCUGGGCUACACACGUGCUACAAUGGGCAGUACAACGAGAAGCAAGCCUGCGAAGGCAAGCGAAUCUCUGAAAGCUGUUCUCAGUUCGGACUGCAGUCUGCAACUCGACUGCACGAAGCUGGAAUCGCUAGUAAUCGCGGAUCAG
rnacentral:rRNA from 1 species